rfam:Camelus ferus unplaced genomic scaffold scaffold557, whole genome shotgun sequence.
GUAGGUGUAGCUCAGUGGUAGAGCACAUGCUUAACAUGCACGAGGUCCUGGGUUCAAUCCCCAGUACCUCCA